rnacentral:rRNA from 1 species
CAAACCAAAGCUGGCGACCGGCGCACGGGUGAGUAACACGUAUCCAACCUGCCUCAUACUCGGGGAUAGCCUUUCGAAAGAAAGAUUAAUAUCCGAUAGCAUAUAUUUCCCGUAUGGGUUCUAUAUUAAAGAAAUUCGGUAUGAGAUGGGGAUGCGUUCCAUUAGUUUGUUGGGGGGUAACGGCCCACCAAGACUACGAUGGAUAGGGGUUCUGAGAGGAAGGUCCCCCACAUUGGAACUGAGACACGGUCCAA